UACGGAGGGUGCAAGCGUUAUCCGGAUUCACUGGGUUUAAAGGGUGCGUAGGCGGGCAGGUAAGUCAGUGGUGAAAUCUCCCGGCCCAACUGGGAGGGGCCAGUGGAUACUGGAUGGCUUGAGGGCAGCAGAGGUCGGUGGAAUUCCUGGUGUAGUGGUGAAAUGCGUAGAGAUCAGGAGGAACACCGGUGGCGAAGGCGGCCGACUGGGCUGCCACUGACGCUGAGGCGCGAAAGCUCGGGGAGCGAACGGG
rnacentral:rRNA from 1 species